rnacentral:lncRNA from 1 species
UAACUUCUAUAUCCGAGAUUAGGCUCUUAAUAGCUUAAUAUAAUGUAAAUUUAAUGUAGCUAACUACAAUCCGCUAGCCAGCAGAGAAUUUGCAUUGUGUCACGCAGUGCCGACCAAGGUGCACCUUAUAAUUAUAUGAAUCACUCUCCGUAGUUAAUUUGCCAUUGUAGUGCCUUAUCCGGAAGGAUAAUAGCUAAACGAAAAUGGUGUCGUCGACCAGACUGCCCCUAAAAAACAAAAUGAAAUCCCCAGUGCUUUGCUGCUGCCUUUUGCUGGCUAUAUCGUGGUCAUGGACUCCUACCGUGUAUGCCGCCGGUGAGCUUCCUCCGAGUAUUUGAAUGAACAAAAUAAAAUAUGCACGCAAAGCAUUACUCUUACAGUUCACCAAGAAUGGCCUCCCUCCCAGCCCCGCAGCACCAAAUGUGAGUGCUUGCCUUUCAUAAAGUUACAUACGUUGCAAACAUCCAUGCAUGCAAUUGCGUGCAUGAAAAUUCACCAUAGUACAUAAAUGGCGAAGUAGGAAUCAGCGGCUUGUUUUUACCCCAGCCAUAUUCACAGCAGAUAACGACUGAGUAUUACACAGAAGCCAGCUCAUUUAUGUAGCUACCCUGCAUCUGACGUUCUGUACUCCGCCGAUAAGGCAAAUCAUUCCAUCUAUUUGUUCAAGAUCUUUGUAAUGUACAAGUCCGAUAAAACAUGACUGACCUAAACGCAGUCCCAAAAGCUGUGUAAUGCAAACACGACUUGCCAUGGCAUGGGCGUCAAAGCCUGCAUCUAAAUGGUUAUAGAUCUAUUACCAUCGCCGUUUCUUAAACCCCCUUACCCUUAGCCUUUGUUUCCCUAAGAUCCUCUUCAGUCAAGACCCCAACUGGCAACCCCACCUCCUCCGUCUGUACACCUUUCCUUUUCUUUCCAAACACAUUGGCUGCGUGCUUGGAAAGGUUGCACACCACCUGCCGGUUGGUGCGUGAGCGUGGAAAUGGAGGACGUGUUUCGGGUCCUCGAUUGCGAUGGCGAUGGACUGCUGGACCUCACCU